rnacentral:rRNA from 1 species
AGCGAACGCUGGCGGCAAGCUUAACACAUGCAAGUCGAACGCCCCGCAAGGGGAGUGGCAGACGGGUGAGUAACACGUGGGAACGUACCCUUUGGUUCGGAAUAACUUGGGGAAACUCAAGCUAAUACCGGAUGAGCCCUUAUGGGGAAAGGUUUACUGCCGAAGGAUCGGCCCGCGUCUGAUUAGCUAGUUGGUGAGGUAAUGGCUCACCAAGGCGACGAUCAGUAGCUGUCUGAGAGGAUGAUCAGCCACACUGGGACUGAGACACGGCCCAGACUCCUACGGGAGGCAGCAGUGGGGAAUAUUGGACAAUGGGGGCAACCCUGAUCCAGCCAUGCCGCGUGAGUGAUGAAGGCCUUAGGGUUGUAAAGCUCUUUUACCCGGGACGAUAAUGACUGUACCGGGAGAAUAAGCCCCGGCUAACUUCGUGCCAGCAGCCGCAGUAA